UACGGGGGGAGCAAGCGUUGUUCGGAUUUACUGGGCGUAAAGCGCGCGUAGGCGGCUUUUCAAGUCGAUUGUGAAAUCCCCGGGCUCAACCUGGGAACUGCAGUCGAGACUGUCUAGCUAGAGUAUGGGAGAGGGAAGUGGAAUUUCAGGUGUAGCGGUGAAAUGCGUAGAUAUCUGAAGGAACAUCAGUGGCGAAAGCGACUUCCUGGACCAAUACUGACGCUCAUGUGCGAAAGCGUGGGGAGCAAACAGG
rnacentral:rRNA from 1 species